GCACCGGUGGCUCAGCUGGGUAGAGGGACGGCUAUGGCUCAGGAGGUCAGGGGUUCGACUCCCUGCUGUGGCU